AACCAUUCUCACCUGCGGCUAGACCUGCGGAGGGAUCAUUACCGAGUUAGGGUAGUCACGCUGCCCGACCUCCCAACCCUGUGUCUACCAUACCUUGUCGUUGCUUCGGCGGACCGGUUGACCAACUGGUCAUGACCGCCGGGGGCUGGCUCUGUCCCCCCUGGAGAGCGUCCGCCGAUGGCCCAACCACAAAACUCUUGUACCGAAACGUGUCGUCUGAAUUAUGUUUGAGAAAUCAAA
rnacentral:misc_RNA from 1 species